rnacentral:rRNA from 1 species
UACGUAGGUGGCAAGCGUUGUCCGGAUUUAUUGGGUUUAAAGGGUGCGUAGGCGGCCCUGUAAGUCAGUGCUGAAAUAUCCCAGCUUAACUGGGAGGGUGGCAUUGAUACUGCGGGGCUAGAGUACAGAUGAGGUAGGCGGAAUUGAUUGUGUAGCGGUGAAAUGCAUAGAUACAAUCAAGAACACCGAUUGCGUAGGCAGCUUACUAGGCUGUAACUGACGCUGAGGCACGAAAGCGUGGGGAGCGAACAGG